UCCGGUGAUGGUAUCGUCUUGGCACCACCUGAUCCCAUUCCGAACUCAGAAGUGAAACAAGAUUGAGCCGAAGAUACUUGGACCGAAGGGUCCUGGGAAAAUAGGUAAUCGCCGGUU
rnacentral:rRNA from 1 species